rnacentral:rRNA from 1 species
GUCAGUGUGGAGAUCGUGAAAGGAGGAGAAAAUAAAGACUUGCUGAACGGAUGGUCAAGCACAAGAGCAAGAACCUGCAUCUUCGAAUGUAGCAUUGAGUCUGUCCUCUAAUCGUCUGUCCUUUGUUUAGUUUCAACACUGAAGUUGUUACAGCAGCUUCAGCUUUGUAGCAGCUUGUCCCCCAAUAUAUCUGUAUCACUCCGUAUGUUAUCCUGGUAGGAAGGUUAAAGUUCCACCUCCAUCAAUGUAAUAUGAAACUUUCUUCUAGUAGUAUUUAUCAUGAUUUUUCUUUUACAUCUUCAUAAAUGUUAGUAUAUCAUCGCUGUAACUUGAAAAUUUUAUAAAGAGUCUGUCCA